GAUGAACGCUGGCGGCGUGCCUAAUACAUGCAAGUCGAGCGAAGAGGGCACGGGUGAGUAAAACGUGGAUAAACUCCUAUAAGACUGGGAUAACUUCGGGAAAACGGAGCUAAACAGGCAACUGAUAGCUGGAUAUGCACUGCAUUAGCUAGUUGGUAAUGUAACGUCUUACACAGUCAACGAUGCAUAGCCGUCCUGAGAGAGUGAGCCGCCACACUGGAACUGAGACACGGUCCAGACGCCUACGGGAGGCAGCAGUGGGGAAUCUUCCGCAAUGGGCGAAAGGCUGACGGAGCAACGACGCGUGAGUGAUGAAGGUCUUCGGAUCGUAAAGCUCUGUUGUUAGAGAGGCGGUAUUUGACCAGGAAGACACGGCUAACUACGUGCCAGCAGCCGCGGUAAUAG
rnacentral:rRNA from 1 species